CCGUUUUUGGGUGCGUCGGUGAGACAUUACCGAGUUUACAACUCCCAAACCCAAUGUGAACGUUACCAAACUGUUGCCUCGGCGGGAUCUCUGCCCCGGGUGCGUCGCAGCCCCGGACCAAGGCGCCCGCCGGAGGACCAACCAAAACUCUUUUUGUAUACCCCCUCGCGGGUUUUUUAUAAUCUGAGCCUUCUCGGCGCCUCUCGUAGGCGUUUCGAAAAUGAAUCAAAACUUUCAACAACGGAUCUCUUGGUUCUGGCAUCGAUGAAGAACGCAGCGAAAUGCGAUAAGUAAUGUGAAUUGCAGAAUUCAGUGAAUCAUCGAAUCUUUGAACGCACAUUGCGCCCGCCAGUAUUCUGGCGGGCAUGCCUGUCCGAGCGUCAUUUCAACCCUCGAACCCCUCCGGGGGGUCGGCGUUGGGGAUCGGCCCUGCCUCUUGGCGGCGGCCGUCUCCGAAAUACAGUGGCGGUCUCGCCGCAGCCUCUCCUGCGCAGUAGUUUGCACACUCGCAUCGGGAGCGCGGCGCGUCCACAGCCGUUAAACACCCAACUUCUGAAAUGUUGACCUCGGAUCAGGUAGGAAUACCCGCUGAACUUAAGCAUAUCAAAAAGCGGAAGGAA
rnacentral:rRNA from 1 species